AUGUCAAGUAGCUAUAAUGUCAUAUUGAAGGAAAGGAAGUUGCCACUAUCCCUUUUAAAUGACCAUCAGAAGCAAGCCAGAGUACAUCUUCUUGAUACGGAGCCUUUUGAGGAUGCAUUUGGACCUAAGAGGAAGAGGAAGCGUCCAAAGCUCUUGGCAGCAGAUUAUGAGUCUUUAAUUAAGAGAGCUGAUGGUUCUCAGGACGCUUUUGAGAUGAGCCAUGGUACUAAUGCAUCUGCAGAAGGAAGUGAAGGAGAUGGAUUUAGGGAACUGGUUCGGCAUACAAUGUUUGAAAAGGGCCAAAGUAAGCGUAUAUGGGG
rnacentral:misc_RNA from 1 species